UCAUCUCAAAAAAAAAAAAAAAAAUAGAAUGAAUUUCUUCAUUGCUGUAAAGCUACCUUCCAUAUGUGACCAAGGUGAGCAGAAAUGGCCUGGCGAGGGUAGCCCUGGUGGGUGAGACACCGCGGGCAGGGCAGGCGGGGCGGGGAGGAGAAUCAGAGGCCCCUUCGAGGUAACGCUGGGCUGUGGUGUGAUGUGUCCCCACCAAAACUCAUGUGAAGGCCUGGUCCCCAGUGUGGCAACACUGGGAGGUGGAGCCUUUAAGGGGUAAUGAGUUUUUUUCUCUAGACUGAAUUAGAUCUUUUUGCAAAACGAGGCCCUCACCAGAAGCUGAGCAGAUGUCGAUGGGCUUCCUAGACUUCUAAGCCUUCAGAACCAUGAGCUAAAUAAGCCUCUUUUCUUCAUAAAUUACUCAACCUCAGGUAUUCUGUUACAGCAACAGAAAACACUAAGAUGCUGUGCGAAUGCGCAAGUCCAUGGCUCCUCGUGGGACCUGGUGUGGGAUACUUUGGCUCAGGGGGUCCAAGGCCACUCAGCUCUUCCUCAGCACAGUUCAGCUCAUCUCUCUGCUGACCAGCUUCCUACACUGAGGGUUUCCAGUCCCCAAGACUUCCGUCUGUAAUGGACGUAACAGUCCAUAAUGGCACCAGCCCUAGCCCUCCUCCUGGACCAAUCAGUGCAGCCCCAUAGACACCAGGUCCAUCCCUCAGAGUCUAGAUUCCAAAUUCCAAAGACAAGAAUCUGACUGGUCCCAGCUCUUUUGCCAGGCCACACGUAUCCAAGGGCAUGGGCCAGCCACUGCACAGGCCCUCUUUGCAUAAGCGAUGGCAAAAUACAGGGUGCCUCCUAAGAACAGUCAUUAGGAGACCAGCAGCUGUGAGGGCUGAUUAGCCUAGAAGGGAACAUGGGAUGUGGCAGCCAAUCCUCUAGCACAACAGAAUUAACAUAAAACAUAAAACAAGCUGGGUUCCAAUUACUCCUUAAAACUGGAUUUCACCUCCAAUUUAGUGGCACACAGCAGGCAUCCAAUAACAGAUGCUGGCCAUAGGUACCUAAGGAUUUUGGAUGAGGGAUACUCGACCUGCACCAUUACUCACUGGAGAGCGUCUGAGUGACCCAGAGACCCACACCCCUUGUUACUCACUUCAUCUGCGGGGAGCCCGACCAGGACAUGUAAAGCAGGAUGAGGAAGAGGAGCAGCACGAAGGCAGCCAGGCUCACCCAGAAGGCGAUCACGAUGGAAUCUGCGGGAGGAGAAGAUGCAUCUCAGCGCUGGGUUGGUGUUGACAUAAAGCAACACUGGGGGGCAGUAAGGAGUCCCGGGGUAUUGUGGAAUGAGGGCCCUGAGUUUCAGUUGUCCUCCAGCCUCUCAGCUGUUACCAUGAGGAAGAUCUCCCAUUAACAAUCACUUUGGGAAAGAACAGAGAAGCCAA